rfam:Pseudoxanthomonas sp. Root65 contig_1, whole genome shotgun sequence.
AACGUCUGUCACUGAUCUCUCCCAUCCCCUGGAGCGAUCUCCCCCGGAGCGACGACCCCUCCCCAGGUCCCGCUCCCCUGGCCCCGCCGACCUCCCCCUGGUCUGCGGGGCUUUUUA